AGAGUUUGAUCAUGGCUCAGGACGAACGCUGGCGGCGUGCUUAACACAUGCAAGUCGAGCGAGAAACCUUCGGGUUUCUAGCGGCGGACGGGUGAGUAACACGUGGGUAACCUGCCUCAAAGUGGGGGAUAGCCUUCCGAAAGGAAGAUUAAUACCGCAUAACAUUGUAGCUUCGCAUGAAGCAGCAAUUAAAGGAGUAAUCCGCUUUGAGAUGGACCCGCGGCGCAUUAGCUAGUUGGAGAGGUAACGGCUCACCAAGGCGACGAUGCGUAGCCGACCUGAGAGGGUGAUCGGCCACAUUGGAACUGAGACACGGUCCAGACUCCUACGGGAGGCAGCAGUGGGGAAUAUUGCACAAUGGGCGAAAGCCUGAUGCAGCAACGCCGCGUGAGUGAUGAAGGUCUUCGGAUUGUAAAGCUCUGUCUUUUGGGACGAUAAUGACGGUACCAAAGGAGGAAGCCACGGCUAACUACGUGCCAGCAGCCGCGGUAAUACGUAGGUGGCAAGCGUUGUCCGGAAUUACUGGGCGUAAAGGAUGUGUAGGCGGAUAUUUAAGUGAGAUGUGAAAUCCCCGAGCUCAACUUGGGGGCUGCAUUUCAAACUGGGUAUCUAGAGUGCAGGAGAGGAAAGCGGAAUUCCUAGUGUAGCGGUGAAAUGCGUAGAGAUUAGGAAGAACAUCAGUGGCGAGGGCGGCUUUCUGGACUGUAACUGACGCUGAGGCAUGAAAGCGUGGGGAGCAAACAGGAUUAGAUACCCUGGUAGUCCACGCCCGUAACGAUGAGUACUAGGUGU
rnacentral:rRNA from 1 species